rnacentral:rRNA from 1 species
UGGCUCAGGAUGAACGCUAGCGGCAGGCUUAACACAUGCAAGUCGAGGGGUAUCACGCUUUCGGGCGUGAGAGACCGGCGCACGGGUGCGUAACGCGUAUACAAUCUACCUUUUACAGAGGGAUAGCCCAGAGAAAUUUGGAUUAGUACCUCAUAGUAUUUUCGAAUGGCAUCAUUUGAUUAUUAAAGUUCCAACGGUAAAAGAUGAGUAUGCGUCCCAUUAGCUAGAUGGUAAGGUAACGGCUUACCAUGGCAACGAUGGGUAGGGGUCCUGAGAGGGAGAUCCCCCACACUGGUACUGAGACACGGACCAGACUCCUACGGGAGGCAGCAGUGAGGAAUAUUGGACAAUGGGCGCAAGCCUGAUCCAGCCAUGCCGCGUGCAGGAAGACGGUCCUAUGGAUUGUAAACUGCUUUUAUACAGGAAGAAACACCUCUACGUGUAGAGACUUGACGGUACUGUAUGAAUAAGCAUCGGCUAACUCCGUG